CCUACGGGAGGCAGCAGUGGGGAAUUUUGGACAAUGGGCGCAAGCCUGAUCCAGCAAUGCCGCGUGAGUGAAGAAGGCCUUCGGGUUGUAAAGCUCUUUUGUCAGGGAAGAAACGGCUGCGGCUAAUAUCCGCGGCUAAUGACGGUACCUGAAGAAUAAGCACCGGCUAACUACGUGCCAGCAGCCGCGGUAAUACGUAGGGUGCAAGCGUUAAUCGGAAUUACUGGGCGUAAAGCGUGCGCAGGCGGUUUUGUAAGUCUGACGUGAAAGCCCCGGGCUCAACCUGGGAAUUGCGUUGGAGACUGCAAGGCUUGAAUCUGGCAGAGGGGGGUAGAAUUCCACGUGUAGCAGUGAAAUGCGUAGAGAUGUGGAGGAACACCGAUGGCGAAGGCAGCCCCCUGGGUCAAGAUUGACGUUCAUGCACGAAAGCGUGGGGAGCAAACAGGAUUAGAUACCCUGGUAGUCCACGCCCUAAACGAUGUCUACUAGUUGUCGGGUUUUAAUAACUUGGUAACGCAGCUAACGCGUGAAGUAGACCGCCUGGGGAUACGGUCGCAAGNUUAAAACUUAAAUGAAUUGACGG
rnacentral:rRNA from 1 species